UACGGGGGGGGCAAGCGUUGUUCGGAAUUACUGGGCGUAAAGGGCUCGUAGGUGGCCAACUAAGUCAGACGUGAAAUCCCUCGGCUUAACCGGGGAACUGCGUCUGAUACUGGAUGGCUUGAGUUCGGGAGAGGGAUGCGGAAUUCCAGGUGUAGCGGUGAAAUGCGUAGAUAUCAGGAGGAACACCGGUGGCGAAGGCGGGUCUCUGGGCCGAUACUGACGCUGAGGAGCGAAAGCGUGGGUAGCAAACAGG
rnacentral:rRNA from 1 species